rnacentral:tRNA from 1 species
GGAAGCACAACCAGCGCUGGUGGCUGGCCCGGUCUUCAAAACCGGAGAAGGUGAUGAGAAAUUGCCUUGGCAGGUUCGAUUCCUGUGUGCUUCCGCCA